UUUUCUUUCUCUACCUGGUUUAGGUCAUUUACCAUGCGGUCCUCCAGGUUCAACAGUAUGGCUCCAAAUGAUGAAAUUUCAUUCUGAUUUUCUGGCUGAAGACUAUUCUGUUUGUGUAUGUCCACCACAGUUACUUUAUCCCUUCAUCUGUGGAUGGGCAGUUGGUUGGCAGAGAAUUUGAACUGGAGAUGAACUUUAUUAUCCAGGAUGCUGAGAGUAUAACAUGCAUGACAGAGCUUUUAGAGCACUGUGAUGUAACAUGUCAAGCAGAAAUAGGGAGCAUGUUUACAGCCAUUCUAUGAAAAAGUGUUCGGAAUGUACAGACUAGCACAGAAGCUGGACUAAUUGAACAAGUAUUGCUGAAAAUGAGUGCUGUAGAUGACAUGAUAGCAGGUAUGGGGUUGUCUGUCAGG
rnacentral:lncRNA from 1 species